rnacentral:lncRNA from 1 species
CCCCCGCCCUCUGUCCCUGAUGCUUGCUCUCUACCCCUCCUCACUGGUCGCCCCUGGGAAAGAAAAGACCAUAAGCCCCUAUUUCAUAUGGACGAUCCCCACAAAUGUGAGCUUCUUCUUCAAGAAUGGGAGACAGCCUCUAAACAGUACAGCACUUGCUACCUAGACAUAAGACUGACAACAAAGCCUCAAUGAACUUAUGUUUUUCCUUCCAGUCAUUAUUCAGUAAGGAUUUGCCUGCCGCUGGUGAGCUUGUAAGCCAGGCCUGGCGGUCUAGCGGUCAAGAUUCAGCUCUCUCACCGCCGCGGACCGGUUCAUUUCUCUGUCAAGGAACCACACCAGUCGUCUGUCGGUUGUCAUCCUGUGGCAGCUGCCUGUUGCUGUGAUGCUGAAAGCUCUCCCACAGGAAAUUCCAAGGGCUUUGAGAGCUGUGACCCAGGAACUGUGGAUGAAGACCAAAUAUAUCUGAGAAAUAUAUUUCAGCCAUCUGAGUGACCAAAUUUAUAUAUUUCUUAUAAAUCACAUUGCACUAUUUUCUCUAAAUUGAAUACUUCUAAAUAUUCCGUGAUGUCACGUCUCUGUUCGGUUUUGCUGGUGCGUGCCUGCAGGACCUUGGCAAGAGCUGCUCCUGCUGGGUGGGAUGCUGUGCCCAUCUUCCUCCGCCUGGGAAACUGCUACUUAUCCUUCAUCUCUCGGCUUAAACAUGGCUUGCUCAGGGCAGAGCCACCCCAUCUUCCUGGCUGGCUCUCAUAGUGCUGUAUCGCUCUCCUUUUUGACAUUUUCCACAGUUGUAUAUUGCCUUUCACAGGCUCUCUCUCCUUUUUCACAUCUCCUCCUCUGCCCCAAAUAAUCAGCCUUCAGAAGCAGCAGCAGCCCCAGGGUUGGCCUUUCCUGGAGUCACCAGGAAGCCUGGGGUCCACUGGCAGAGGCCACUGCAGGAGGUGUGGGUGGGGCGAGAGACGAGAAAGGGCAGUGAUCCUAAGGGAAAGGAUGCAGGUUGAGGGCAUGGGAACUGAGGCCAGAAAAGGACUUGAUUUUCUGCUUCUAGGAGAAGGGAAGGGAGAAAGACGGAGGUGAUGGGGUCCAGAAUAUGCCACUCUGGCAUAGGGAUUACUUUGUCCUGAAAGCCAUGGAGAAAAAGCAUACACAAGAAAACCUCUGCUCUCCCCUCUCUACCAGGAAGGGCAGGAUGAUUCUUAAUAAUCAGCAGAGAUAACUCUAGACACUUAUCAGCUCAGAGACAGCACCAAAAGAACCCACAUAAUAAACCUUACUGACUAGCCCUUAUCUCCCACAAUUUUCCUCACACAUUUGCCUUCCCAUGGUUUGCCGCCCCUACAAGCUCAAAGUCCCUUCCCUGGGUCUUGUUACUUCUCUACAAAUUUAUCGUUCUUUUGUUAAGAUGCGGUAUGCUACCCCAAGUUCUAACCAGCCCUUUGAGCUACUCAUCACUGAGCUCCCACGUAUAUGUGUGCCAUAUGUGUU